UACAAACAUCACUUCUUUAGCAUCAUUAUCAUUUUUUACCCGCACUCAUCCACGUACAACAUCGAGUCCCCCAAUACUUCUAAUUUUUUCGCCUUCAGGUAUGUUUCCGUCUAACCAAUGAACCACCCCUCUCUUUAGUUGCUCGAAACGACAGAUGCUGCAAAACAUCAUCACCAUCGGAGACUUGUCUCUCGAAUAAAUCAAUUUUCCAUAGCAACGACGAAGACGAAACAUGUUUGCAAUAUAAUGAAAAGAGAUAUGAAAAAAUGAAUCACACAACACCUUUAUUUAUACAAAAAGAAAAUUACACAAUACACUGAGGCAUCAGACCAAUUGACGAUUCCUCUCACUUUUUACACAUGAGCAUCAAUUGGAUUGACAACACCAUGUACUGUAGUCAAUUCAAUUGAUAUUCGAUCUUUAAAAUUAAGGAUAAACAUCAAUUCAUCUGACACCUAGACUUUAACGUUUUAUUUUACUUUUGAAAGUGAGAUAAUUUGAGAAUUAAUCUAAAAAGAAGAUUAUUUCAAUAAAAAAAACUCUAAAAAUUACAUAAUUUAAAAAAAAAUAUUGCAUUGCCCAAUGAAUGGCGUCUUAUAUGCGUAUAUGACAAACCUACCGGCCGAAUUAGUACUUUUGUUGCGUUCACAAAUGUGAUAUGUCAAACUAAAACAGACACAAACCUUUCCAUUUUAUGUAUGUGCAGCCACCCAAAGCCUGUGUAUAUCUGCCAAGUGCCAACUACUAUUUCCAUCAUCUUGUGUUGUCAAUUGCUUGAUGUUGCUUGUGUCUGUGUCUCUUCCUCCACACUAUUUCCACUUGUUCCCACCCACGUUCACCAUUUACUAGUAUCUUUCACCAUCACAAGCAACGAAUUUCCAGCUUUACCGACUCCAUAUCUCACUCUUAUCUCUCCCCUUUCAAAAUGAAUCAGAUUCACUCCUAGUCAUAUACAGUUUCACUUUUGUUACUGACUUGUGCAGUAUGCGUGUAUUCAUGAUUAUUGUGCAAUUUGCUUAGAAAUAUCAAAAUG
rnacentral:lncRNA from 1 species